GUGGACAAGCAGACAGUGUUGGGCUUCAGAUUGGAGAUGAGAUAGUUCGGAUAAAUGGAUACUCCAUCUCUUCAUGCACUCACGAGGAAGUAAUAAAUCUCAUCCGCACAAAGAAAAUAGUGUCCAUAAAAGUAAGACAUGUCGGCAUGAUACCUGUCAAAAGCUCUCCAGAUGAGCCUCUUAAGUGGCAAUUUGUGGAUCAGUUUGUGUCAGAUUCUGGGGAGGGAGAAGGCAGUGUUGCUGGACUCGCUUCAUCUGGAGGAAGGGACAAUAAAGAGAAGAAAGUCUUCAUUAGUUUGAUUGGUUCCAGGGGCAUGGGAUGCAG